rnacentral:rRNA from 1 species
UACAGAGGGGGCUAGCGUUAUUCGGAAUUAUUGGGCGUAAAGGGCGCGUAGGCGGCCAUGCGUGUCUUCCGUGAAAUCCCUCGGCUUAACUGAGGACGUGCGGAAGAAACUGCAAGGCUCGAGUCCGGGAGAGGGGGGGUGGAAUUCCCAGUGUAGCGGUGAAAUGCGUAGAUAUUCGCAAGAACACCAGUGGCGAAGGCGGCUCACUGGUCCGGUACUGACGCUGAGGUGCGAAAGCGUGGGGAGCGAACAGG